rnacentral:rRNA from 1 species
CAGUAGCCGCGGGAAUACGUAGGUGGCAAGCGUUGUUCGGAUUUACUGGGCGUAAAGCGCACGUAGGCGGACUUUUAAGUCAGGGGUGAAGUCCCGGGGCUCAACCCCGGAACCGCCUUUGAUACUGGGAGUCUUGAGUUCGAGAGAGGUGAGUGGAAUUGCGAGUGUAGAGGUGAAAUUCGUAGAUAUUCGCAGGAACACCAGUGGCGAAGGCGGCUCACUGGCUCGAUACUGACGCUGAGGUGCGAAAGCGUGGGGAGCAAACAGGAUUAGAUACCCGUGUAGUCCCUGUCUCUUAUAA